rnacentral:Y_RNA from 1 species
GGUUAGUCUGAUGGUAGUGAGUUAUCAGAACUUAUUAACAUUAGCGUCACUAAUAGGUAUACAACUCCCCACUGCUAAAUUUGGCUAAAAAG